CCAGGUGGAAGUCUGAUGAAUCUCGCUGGGGCCUCCAGAAAUGUGACUCACACAGCUGAGAAAGAGCCUUAGACCCCACUUAAUGCAAUAAUCAAUAGAAAUUUAUU
rnacentral:miRNA from 1 species